GGGGACCUUCGGGCCCUAUCAAUCGCGGCGCGUAAAGUGCUGCAUUUAUAACGGAAGACAGAAA
rnacentral:ncRNA from 1 species